rnacentral:rRNA from 1 species
GACGAACGCUGGCGGCGUGCCUAAUACAUGCAAGUCGAGCGGACUGAUUAAGAGCUUGCUCUUAUGACGUUAGCGGCGGACGGGUGAGUAACACGUGGGCAACCUGCCCUGUAGAUCGGGAUAACACCGAGAAAUCGGUGCUAAUACCGGGUAAUAUCUGAGAUCACAUGAUCUUAGGUUAAAAGAUGGCUCCGGCUAUCACUACAGGAUGGGCCCGCGGCGCAUUAGCUAGUUGGUAAGGGAAUGGCUUACCAAGGCGACGAUGCGUAGCCGACCUGAGAGGGUGAUCGGCCACACUGGGACUGAGACACGGCCCAGACUCCUACGGGAGGCAGCAGUAGGGAAUCUUCCGCAAUGGACGAAAGUCUGACGGAGCAACGCCGCGUGAGUGAUGGAGGGUUUCGGCUCGUAAAGCUCUGUUGUUAGGGAAGAAACAGUACCGAACGAACUAGGUCGGUACCUUGACGGUACCUAACCAGAAAGCCACGGCUAACUACGUG